CCGGAGUACAGGAGCCAAGCAAUUGUAUGGGUGAUGCCAGGCAAUUGAAGUAUCAGCUACACAAGUGGUGGCUUUUCAUCCCACCUUGCCCUUACCCCCUUCCCCGGGAAAAACUGAGUUCAAGCGCUGCCCCCCUUGAGGAACAGGAAACCACUAAUCCCCUGCUUGCUAGUUGCCAAGCAACCCAGGAUGAGCCUUCGAGGUCAUUUCUCAGACAGCUCUGCGCCUCCCCACAGCCUGUGAACAGAUGGCCCCUGCAAGCAGCCAGUCCCAGUCCUAAGCAAUUGCUAUGCUCCUGCAGCCUGUCCCCUGAGGGACAAAAUUGGAGACAAUGUCUCAGCCUCACUGAGGUGUUUCCUUCUAGUUGCCGGAAGAUACAAAGAUGCAGAUAGCUCCGGACCUGUUUGUCCUGUUUUCCUAUGUUUUGCUUUUUAUUUUCUUAGUUUUAUGUUUUUUGAGAAAGGGUCUCACUCCAUAUCCCCUGGCUGGCCUUGCAUUCACUGUGUGUGACACCCCUCCCCCUCCCACACACCCGCAAGUAUCAUGGCCAGCAGCAAAACAAUCGGAGGAAAGGCGAGAAUGAAUCUCAGUUCAGCUCAGACUUCUGGAGUCUGACACCAGGUGCCAACAGGUGGAUUGGUGUAACCGCUUCUGCCCAACCAACUUCAAACUCUGGCCCCCAUGAACCCUGCUCUCUGCGUGCAUUAACUCGUUUUGCUGGUGGUUCGCAGUACUCAGGAAAACUGAAGGUUACCAGUUGUCUAUUGCCAUUAUUGUUAUUAUUAAGACAGGCCUUGCUAUGAAGUCCAGGAGAGCCUUGAACUUGGAAUCCUUCUACUUCUGUUUCUGAGUGCUGAGAUCCUAUGCCUGGCACCAGUUUACUAUAU
rnacentral:lncRNA from 1 species